rnacentral:snRNA from 1 species
GAAAGUAAAGGUGAUCUGACUGCGACAUCUAUCACCCCACUGAUGCAGUGAGGGUUGAUUCCGCUGAUUAUCUGGCUGGCUAGGCGGAUGGAUGUCCCCUUCCUCCCUCACCGCUCCCAUGUGCAUCCUUUCCGAAGCUGUGCUCUGGGUGGAAGAGGACCUCCUUCCCCGAAUAGAGAUGGUCUGGUCUUCAGUCGAGAGUAUAUGAGUAGCUACACUCUCCUGCAGGAACCUCCAAACAAGUUCUCAAGCUCUUAGAUGAAAAGACUAGAAAGCCAAGCAGUUGUGGGGUCUGGGUGCCAGCAUUACCAUGUGA